rnacentral:rRNA from 1 species
AGUGAACGCUGGCGGUAGGCCUAACACAUGCGAGUCGAACGGCAGCACAGUAAGAGCUUGCUCUUACGGGUGGCGAGUGGCGGACGGGUGAGGAAUACAUCUGAAUCUACUUUUUCGUGGGGGAUAACGUAGGGAAACUUACGCUAAUACCGCAUACGACCUACGGGUGAAAGCAGGGGAUCUUCGGACCUUGCGCGAUUGAAUGAGCCGAUGUCGGAUUAGCUAGUUGGCGGGGUAAAGGCCCACCAAGGCGACGAUCCGUAGCUGGUCUGAGAGGAUGAUCAGCCACACUGGAACUGAGACACGGUCCAGACUCCUACGGGAGGCAGCAGUGGGGAAUAUUGGACAAUGGGCGCAAGCCUGAUCCAGCCAUACCGCGUGGGUGAAGAAGGCCUUCGGGUUGUAAAGCCCUUUUGUUGGGAAAGAAAAGCAGCAGGUUAAUACCCCGCUGUUCUGACGGUACCCAAAGAAUAAGCACCGGCUAACUUCGUG